GACGUAGGAUGCAAGCGUUGUCCGGAUUUAUUGGGCGUAAAGAGUUCGUAGGUGGUUUGUUAAGUCUGAUGUUAAAGACUGGGGCUCAACCUCGGAAAUGCAUUGGAUACUGGCAGACUUGAGUGCAGUAGAGGCAAGCGGAAUUCCAGGUGUAGCGGUGAAAUGCGUAGAUAUCUGGAAGAACACCGGUGGCGCAAGCGGCUUGCUGGGCUGUAACUGACGCUGAGGAACGAAAGCUAGGGGAGCGAAU
rnacentral:rRNA from 1 species